GGUAUGUACUGGUGUUACUGAUUCCUCCCUUCUGACGAACUAUCAUGCCAUUUACUUGGUGUGGUGGGAAAUCAGAACUGUUACUUUGAAAAAAUUAGAGUGUUUAAAGCAGGCUCACGCUUGGAUACAUUAGCAUGGAAUAAUGAAAUAGGACGUUGAUCUUAUUUUGUUGGUUUCUAGGAUUGACGUAAUGAUUAAUAGGGAUAGUUGGGGGCAUUAGUAUUCAAUUGUCAGAGGUGAAAUUCUUGGAUUUAUUGAAGACUAACUACUGCGAAAGCAUUUGCCAAGGAUGUUUUCAUUAAUCAAGAACGAAAGUUAGGGGAUCGAAGACGAUCAGAUACCGUCGUAGUCUUAACCAUAAACUAUGCCGACUAGGGAUCGGAUGAUGUUAAUUUUUUUAAUGACUCAUUCGGCGCCUUACG
rnacentral:rRNA from 1 species